GAAGGAGCGGUACUUUUGCAGCUCUUGCUCCAGACGGUCCUUCUCUUUGUCGAUGGUCGCCGUCUUCCUCCUCAUGAGGUCCACUUCCAGGGAUCUUCUGUGUCUUUUUCCCUUUAAUUACGAGGGUGCUCCCAAACCUGCAGCUGAUCAGCAAUCACCUCCUGCGUGUGAGAGCUCUCCUGAUCUUCAAGCGGGUUCCAGAUGAUUCACGCAUUAUGAGCGUGCCUGCCUCCUUGCCCAGCCUGGCUCCACAUUUUCCUCCCCGGACCAUUUGACCCUGCACCCAUCCUUCCUCCAUCUCCUUCGCUUUUGCAUCCUCUGCCGCCUUUACCUUUGCCACCCAUAACAACCUGAUCGCGAAAAAAAAUUGGCUGCACGAAACACUGUCCUGCCAUGCCCAAUGUAAUGUUUAUCUACCCACCUCUUUGGUUUUUUCUAGUUCGUUGUGCAGGGCUUGUUUGGUCACCUCCACCUCAAUGAGGCUCUGUCUCAGCUUCUCGUUCUCGUCUUCCGUCUUUGCGCGGGUCUCCUCCACCUUCUCCAACUCGUGGUGAAGCCUCACGGACACAUCUUUGGCCACCUGCCCCAGCGGCGACGUGUUGAUUUUUGAAACCCGUGAACGAAACG